CUCCCCUCCCCCAGGAGACAUUUUGGGCACGUCCCGGCAGCAGGUACCCGCAGAGCCUGUGUACGAGCGGCCAGAGCCUAGUCAGGCUCCUUCGGAUGGCAAGCAUGGCGCGGCUUCGAGCGCUGCGAAGGGCAGCGGCCGGUAUUCUUCCUUAAAUUCCUUCUGUGGCUUCUCUACUGAUGAAAACAAAAACAGUAACCUAGAAGCUCGGAGAGACUAAGAGACAAAGGUAACAAAGUAUUUUCCCCUGGGCAAUUCUUCAGAUAUUGCGUGUGUGCAUGUGUGUGUCCGCCUUGAUUGAGUCCUCAGUUGCAUCAGUGAACUCUCAGAUUCUCACUGACUUUCUCUUUGCAAGAAGAACACGUUAGUGGACAUAAUCAUGUCCAUCUGUGUCAUCUCUGCGAUGUCCUCUGUCCCGUCCAGCUUUGUCAUGUUCCUGAUCCAGGGGUGUGUCAGCAAAUAGAAGCACCUGCAGUUCAUCAGUGGAGUGAAGCCUAUCAUUCUACUGGCUCUCCAGUUCUGUCUAGGACAUGGUUUCCAUUUCUAACAGGAACAGCCGGCAAACAAAGGACCCAAAGUGAUAUGUGAGAUUUUUGACGGGAAAAAAGAUGAAGAAGGUGGUUUUAUUGUUCCUAAAUAUCCAGGUAAACACUUGAAAAUCAGUCUACCUUCUGGUCAGAAGUAUGGAGCAGGUAGAAAAAAAGAAACCAGGGAACAAGUAGAUUUGAGAAGUAAAAGGAAAAAAAGUACAAAGCAACUAAAGAAUUAUAAACAACAUAGAGGCAGAUAACCAAGAUGUGACACUGUUCUAGGAGCCACUAAGUUCAUGUAGCCAGCGCUGAAGGCUGAGGGGAGGUCCAGGUGGAUAGGAUCCAAAUAAGACAUUUCAAAUCUCUUGUCAUCUAAGAUACAUUAUGAAGUUGGGAUUAUGGGGGAAAGAAAACUUAAAUUAGUUUAUGCUUUCAAAAAGUCUGCCUUUGGUUUAAAAUUGGGUUGAGGUAAAUAUUUCCCUUAAGUCAGUAAGAAAGUGAAAUCAGCAAGAAGAUAAAUCUUUAAUAAUUAUUUUCAAACUGAGGAAUAAGAGGAAAACAAGUUAAACUACAGUAAUUCAGCUUAACAGUUUAAAUUAAUCCAUCCCCCCCAGUUUUACAAGCAAAGAUACACUUACUGUUUUUAGAUUAACUGUAAUUUGUGUAAAAAAAAAUACUAAGUUAUGAGAAAAUAUCAUACAUUUCCCUUUACCUACCUAUACAUGUGUUCUGUGUUCUAGAUCCCCAACUUCUCAACCUUUCUUCCCAUGUAAACUUUUCAUAUUCAUACCUAAACUUUAACAGUUUUUCCAAAUUGGAAAAAAAUUCAUUAUUUAAUGCUCAUUGUUUUAACUGUAAGCAAAGAGCUCAAAUUCAUUUUUAUCUCUAUAAUCACAAUAUAUUCCGAUAUAAAAACAAAGGAUUACUUUCUCCUACAGAACUUUAGUUUUUAUAGCUUAAAAUCUUCAGUAUGUUCUUCAUUAAAAUUCAGUGUAAUUUAGAGAGACGAACUUACCUUCUUUGGGUGGUUUUUCUAAUUUGCACCAUGGCACCAGAUAAGUAACUUCACUCUCUUGUUUAUCAGUGAGACCCAUAAUUGGAAUGAGUAAUUGUUCUCGCCAUUCCUUAUCAUUGGCCAAGGCUUUCCGAACUUCAGUUUGAUGAGCAAAAUUGUCUAUGGGAAUAACAGGAGUAAGAAAAAUAAAACUUUUUGAUUUAAAAUCACCUGUACACCUUUAACAUAUAUAAUAUUGUAUAUCAACUGUACAUCAAUAAAAAAAUAAAAUCACCUGUACUAUUUCUGGGUUUCAUUCAAUUUAGCAAAUGUUUAUUGAGGCCACAUAAGGACAAUAUGUUAUAUCACUAGAGAUACCAACAUAAGUAGUUAGUUGCUCAUGGUCUGAAAGGGGAGUGGCAAUGUAAACAACCAAUGAUGUCAUAUAGUAAUGGGCUUCAUAGGUGCUACCAUUUAGUAGGUAGUUGUGAGACUUAGGUAAGUUAUUGAAUCAUUCUGUGCCUGUCUCUUAUUCUGUGAAAUAGGGAUAAUGAUAUAGUAUCUACCUCCAGGGCUGUUGUGAGGAUUAAAAGAAUUGGUACAUGAAAGGAGCUUAGAACAAUGUUUGGCACCAAGUGAGUACUCCAUAUAUAUUAAUUUAUUCUUAUUACUUGAGGCAUUUAAGUUAUAGUGUUAGUCUAGAGAAAGACUGUUUCUUCGGUAGUGCUGGUGGUGGGUAGUCAGGUCAAGGUACAACUGAAUUAAAUUUAACAUAAAUGAAAUUAAGAUUUGCUUUUUCAGCCUCUUGAACAAACAGCUUCCAAAGAAACAGUGCUAAUUCUUACUGAUUGACACCAUUCUUUUUACCCAGUACUGUUUCUCUUCUGUUUGUUACCCAAACAGGUAUAUACAUUUAAUAACAUAUAGGCCUAGUACUAUAUUUAUUAUUAGGGCCUAAGGUUAAUGGUAAAAGAGUUUUCUAUGGUUUAUGCUAGAGAUAAGGAAUAACAUCUAUCUUAGAGCUUAAGUAAGUUAUAUCACGAUCUUACUAGUAAUUUUCUUAAUGGGACAUAAUUCUCCUUGUUGCACAUUAAAGCAUAAAUUGUGUUUUAAUGGGGUUUGUCCUAUUACAACAGGGAAAUCCUCUAAACUAUGGCCAUGUUAAAUAUAGAAUGAGCACUUUUCACAAUAAUGUGAUGAAUAUUAACUUUGGACACUAUUAUGACUCUUAACUUUG